rnacentral:rRNA from 1 species
UACGUAGGGGCGAGCGUUGUCCGGAAUUAUUGGGCGUAAAGGGCGUGUAGGCGGUUAUUUAAGUCAGGUGUGAAACACCACGGCUCAACCGUGGGGUUGCACUUGAAACUGGAGGACUUGAGUGCAGGAGAGGAGAGCGGAAUUCCCGGUGUAGCGGUGAAAUGCGUAGAUAUCGGGAAGAACACCAGUGGCGAAGGCGGCUCUCUGGCCUGUAACUGACGCUGAGGCGCGAAAGCUAGGGUAGCGAACGGGAUUAGAUACCCGGGUAGUCCCUGAGCGGG